rnacentral:rRNA from 1 species
UGGGGAAUCUUGCACAAUGGGCGAAAGCCUGAUGCAGCGACGCCGCGUGGGGGACGAAUGCCUUCGGGUUGUAAACCCCUUUCGGCAGGGAAGAAGCGCAAGUGACGGUACCUGCAGAAGAAGCUCCGGCUAACUACGUGCCAGCAGCCGCGGUAAGACGUAGGGAGCGAGCGUUGUCCGGAUUCAUUGGGCGUAAAGCGCGCGUAGGCGGUUUGGUAAGUCGGAUGUGAAAUCCCGAGGCUCAACCUCGGGACUGCAUCCGAUACUGCCCGACUAGAGGUAGGUAGGGGAGAUCGGAAUUCCUGGUGUAGCGGUGAAAUGCGCAGAUAUCAGGAGGAACACCGGUGGCGAAGGCGGAUCUCUGGGCCUUACCUGACGCUGAGGCGCGAAAGCUAGGGGAGCAAACAGG